UACGUAGGGACCGAGCGUUGUCCGGAAUCAUUGGGCGUAAAGAGCGUGUAGGCGGCCCCUUAAGUCCUGCGUGAAAUCCUGCGGCUCAACCGCAGACGGUCGUGGGAAACUGGAGGGCUAGAGUGCGGGAGAGGAGAGUGGAAUUCCCGGUGUAGCGGUGAAAUGCGCAGAUAUCGGGAAGAACACCCGUGGCGAAGGCGGCUCUCUGGAACGCAACUGACGCUGAGACGCGAAAGCGUGGGGAGCAAACCGG
rnacentral:rRNA from 1 species